rnacentral:rRNA from 1 species
AGUCACUGACAUUAGAUACCCGUGUAGUCCCAGCCCUAAACGAUGCGCGUUAGGUGUAUCGGUGACCACGAGUCACCGAGGUGCCGAAGGGAAACCGUGAAACGUGCCGCCUGGGAAGUACGGUCGCAAGGCUGAAACUUAAAGGAAUUGGCGGGGAGCACAACAACGGGUGGAGCUUGCGGUUUAAUUGGAUUCAACGCCGGAAAUCUUACCCGGGACCGACAGCAACAUGAAGGCCAAGCUGAAGACUUUGCCGGAUUAGCUG